rnacentral:rRNA from 1 species
GAUGAACGCUGGCGGCGUGCCUAAUACAUGCAAGUCGAGCGAACAGACGUGGAGCUUCCUCUGGUGACGUUAGCGGCGGACGGGUGAGUAACACGUGGAUAACUUAUGUAUAGGACUGGAGUAAGGUCGGAGAACGGGAACUAAGGCCUAAUAAUAUAUUGAACAGCAUGGUUCAAUAGGGGAAGACGGUUUUGCUGUUAGUUGUAGGUGGAUCCGCGCCGGCUUAGCUAGUUGGUAAGGUAACGGCUUACCAAGACAACGAUGGGUAGCCGACGUGAGAGGGAGAUCGGCCACACUGGAACUGAGACACGGUCCAGACUCCUACGGGAGGCAGCAGUAGGGAAUCUUGCACAAUGGGCGAAAGCUUGACCCAGCAACGCCGCGUGAGUGAUGAAGGUCUUCGGAUUGUAAAACUCUGUUAUUAGGGAAGAACAAAUAGGCAAGUAACUAGGCGCGUCUUGACGGUACCGGAUGAGUAAGCACCGGCUAACUACGUG